rnacentral:tRNA from 1 species
AGGUCACAACCCCGUCCCGGGAACUCUCCUAAAGCGGGUGUCGCAGGUUCGAAUCCUGCCGGGGGCACCA